AGCAGCCGCGGUAAUUCCAGCUCCAAUAGCGUAUAUUAAAGUUGUUGCAGUUAAAAAGCUCGUAGUUGAAUUUCGGGACCAAUCUGCCGGUCGUGCCUCCGGUACGCACUGGUUUUAUUGGUUUCUCCCUUCUGACGAACCAUGAUGUCAUUAAUUUGGUGUCAUGGGGAAUCAGGACUGUUACUUUGAAAAAAUUAGAGUGUUUAUAGCAGGCUCACGCUUGAAUACAUUAGCAUGGAAUAAUGAAAUAGGACGUUUGAUUCUAUUUUGUUGGUUUCUAGGAUCGACGUAAUGAUUAAUAGGGAUAGUUGGGGGCAUUAGUAUUCAAUUGUCAGAGGUGAAAUUCUUGGAUUUAUUGAAGACUAACUACUGCGAAAGCAUUUGCCAAGGAUGUUUUCAUUAAUCAAGAACGAAAGUUAGGGGAUCGAAGACGAUCAGAUACCGUCGUAGUCUUAACCAUAAACUAUGCCGACUAGGGAUCGGAUGAUGUUAAUUUUUUUAAUGACUCAUUCGGCGCCUU
rnacentral:rRNA from 1 species